CAGCAGCCACGGGAAUACGUAGGGUGCAGGCGUUAAUCGGAAUUACUGGGCGUAAAGCGUGCGCAGGCGGUUUGUUAAGACAGAUGUGAAAUCCCCGGGCUCAACCUGGGAACUGCAUUUGUGACUGGCAAGCUAGAGUGUGGCAGAGGGGGGUGGAAUUCCGCGUGUAGCAGUGAAAUGCGUAGAUAUGCGGAGGAACACCGAUGGCGAAGGCAGCCCCCUGGGCCAAUACUGACGCUCAUGCACGAAAGCGUGGGGAGCAAACAGGAUUAGAUACCCCGGUAGUCCCUGUCUCUUAUAC
rnacentral:rRNA from 1 species